UAGAAAUGCUUCAUUUCACUGGCACUUGUUUAUUUAUGUGUAUUUGUGUUCUAUUUAGUUUCCAGAUGUGGAAUCUCGUGAAGACUUAAUUAAAAAUCACUACAUGGCAAGGAUAGUGGAACUUACGUCUCAGUUGCAGCUGGCUGACAGUAAGUCAGUGCAUUUUUAUGCUGAGUGCCGAGCACUCUCUAAAAGACUGGCCUUGGCUGAAAAGUCUAAGGAAGCAUUGACAGAAGAAAUGAAACUUGCCAGUCAGAACAUCAGCAGACUUCAGGAUGAGCUGACAACUACCAAGAGGAGUUAUGAGGAUCAGUUAAGUAUGAUGAGUGACCACCUGUGCAGCAUGAAUGAGACAUUAUCUAAACAGAGAGAAGAGAUUGACACGCUAAAGAUGUCCAGUAAGGGGAAUUCUAAAAAGAACAAGAGUCGAUAGUUUUGAAAUAGCUGGUUGGCGACUGUUCUUUCCAGACCUGCUCCUGCUGCACAGAGCUGCAGGGCUGAGACCACGUCCAUGCUGGCUGCCUUCAGGAAGCUAAAGUAUUGCUGGACCUAGUAAACUAGUCAGUGUUGGAAAUGGCCUUGAAAUAUUUAAAACAUAUUUGUAACCAGUGAGGCAAAUACAGAAGUUGAUGUCGGCAGUAAAUGGAAAACAAUACAUAUAUCAUGGAUAUUGUAGGUUUCCUUAUGCUGUUUUUACUGUGCACUUUUUAAAAUUAGGUUUUAAUUUCAGUACGUAAGAACAACAAAUAUUUUGUAUACUUUCAAACUCAAUUAUAUGGUAAUCGAUUUGGUAUCUAUGGAAUAGAUAUAUGUUUCUGGAAAAAAAUGCUUAAAUUGUCAAACUCAUUACUUCUUACUAUAGUUGAAGACAUUCUCCAGAUUCUUUUUAAAAGAUUUGUUCAUAUUUCUCUCUCUCUCUCUCUCUCUCUCUCUAUUUCUCUCUCUCUCUCUCUCUGAGGGGGAAGGGAGCCCUGCAAACUUCAGAUCCUGUGGGUUUAGUAUCAUUAUCUUCAGCUCUUUGAUACCCUGUGUUAGAGUAAUAGCUAAAGGAAGUUCAUGUCAAUAAAUUCAUACUUAUAUCACA
rnacentral:sRNA from 1 species